CCCUUAGAUGUUCUGGGCCGCACGCGCGCUACACUGACGAAGUCAGCGAGCAUGUCCUACGCCGAUAGGUGCGGGGAAUCUUGUGAAACUUUGUCGUGCUGGGGAUUGAUUUUUGAAAUUCUUGAUCAUCAACGAGGAAUUCCUAGUAAGCGCAAGUCAGCAGCUUGCGUUGAUUACGUCCCUGCCCUUUGUACACACCGCCCGUCGCUACUACCGAUUGAAUGGUUUAGUGAGAUUUUUGGACUGGAACUCUCUUGUUCAGCAAUGAACGAGAGGGACUCUGGGAAGCUAUUCUAACUGUAUCAUUUAGAGGAAGUAAAAGUCGUAACA
rnacentral:rRNA from 1 species